rnacentral:rRNA from 1 species
UAAGCAACCUGCCCCAGAGACCGGGACAACAGUUCGAAAGGGCUGCUAAUACCGGAUGCGGCCUGGUGGAGACAUCUCUACCAGUCUAAAUCAUUUAUGGCUCUGGGAGGGGCUUGCGGCCUAUCAGCUAGAUGGCGGGGUAACGGCUCACCAUGGCGACGACGGGUAGCUGGUCUGAGAGGAUGGUCAGCCGGACUGGGACUGAGAUACGGCCCAG